AGUAACGGCGAGUGAAGCGGCAACAGCUCAAAUUUGAAAUCUGGCCCUCUCAGGGUCCGAGUUGUAAUUUGGAGAGGAUGCUUCGGGUGUGGCCCCGGUCUAAGUUCCUUGGAACAGGACGUCACAGAGGGUGAUAAUCCCGUACGUGCCCGGUGGCCGACCCCGUGUGGAGCUCCUUCGACGAGUCGAGUUGUUUGGGA
rnacentral:rRNA from 1 species